rnacentral:lncRNA from 1 species
CCGCCAUCAGGGUGUUACACCUUCACCUUCAAUCUCAUCGUCGUCUUCCCUCACCAUCGCCUCGGUAACCAGCCUUGACAACACCAACAUUGGUAACCAAGCGGAUUCUCUUUGAUUGACUGCAUGUUGGCUUUUGCGGCUUCCCAAUGUCUCUUAUUGCUGCACCAGUCCACCACCAUGGCGUGACAACUUGACAAGCAAGGAAAAAAGCAUAGCAGAUGACGCCUGGCGUUGCAUGCCAAAAUGAAACAACUAGCAAGUGCAUCGUAAAGACAUAAAUGUAUCUUGUAAUGGUUUGUGGUUCCCUAACCGGUUUUCAUGGGAUUUUAGUGACUAGAUGUAACUGGUGUAUUACUCUUCAUGAAUGUACUUCAUGGGUAUGUUUUUGCUAAAAUUUAUUUUUCCUUUCUAUG